GGUCCGUCAAGGAGCUUUGGGAUUUAACACGGGAGCUUGGGAUCGUUGCGGUGUAGAUGUUAGGGGUUGUGGAAAAAGUCACGAUGGAGAGUCGCCGUGGAAGUGGUGGGAGGAGUUCUUGAGAAUGAAGCUUUGGUUGAAGCUGUGGCAGAGAUGGGGAUGAAAAGAGAGGGAGUGCAGGAGCACAGCCGUUAGCCACCGGCUGCCGACCUAUGGAAUAGAAAAAG
rnacentral:lncRNA from 1 species